ACUGCUUUUGAAGUUUUGAUGAUGACGAUGAUUACGAUGACGGAGCGUUGAACGUUAAGGCAUAUUAGCUGGGAGCAACCACUUUUGUGCUUCAUGACCAGGACCCCCUGUGUAUAAAUAACGAGGUACGCCUACCUUUCGUGUUUUGUGAGUGUGUUAGUGUGGUUCACAUCGCUGCUAGACAUCCCGUUGGUUGAGUGUUGAAAAGCAUCAACGUUUGCUGUCUAGUUUGGCCCGCAUUUCGACCUGUGCUGUUUGGACCGGCCAGCGUGAGCAGAGCUGCCAGAUGAUUUGAUAGAAAAUCUGUAUCCACGAGGUUAAAAAAUCUGUGUCCCAUACAAGAAAAUCUGUGUCCAUACAAAAAUUGUUGAAAGAAAAUCUGUGUUCCAUACAAAUUGAAUCUGUGUCAGAAUAAAAAUAUCUGUGUAAUACAGAGAAAUCUGUACAUCUGGCAGCCCUGAGCGUGAGAGAUGAUUGUUAGGCAAGCUUUGUUCGUAGUUGACAUUCGUUUACUGUUUAUGACAAGCUUAAAACGUUUCUCAAAAAAAAAAAAAAAAAAAAAAAA